rnacentral:rRNA from 1 species
UACGUAGGCAGCGAGCGUUGUUCGGAAUUACUGGGCGUAAAGAGUGUGUAGGCGGUGCUCUAAGUUCGGUGUGAAAUCUCCUGGCUCAACUGGGAGGGUGCGCCGAAUACUGAGGGACUUCGAGUGCGGGAGAGGAAAGUGGAAUUCCUGGUGUAGCGGUGAAAUGCGUAGAUAUCAGGAGGAACACCGGUGGUGUAGACGGCUUUCUGGACCGUAACUGACGCUGAGACACGAAAGCGUGGGUAGCAAACAGG